GACGAACGCUGGCGGCGUGCUUAACACAUGCAAGUCGAACGGAAAGGCCCUGCUUGCAGGGUACUCGAGUGGCGAACGGGUGAGUAACACGUGGGUGAUCUGCCCUGCACUUCGGGAUAAGCCUGGGAAACUGGGUCUAAUACCGGAUAGGAGCCAUUUUUAGUGUGAUGGUUGGAAAGUUUUUUCGGUGUAGGAUGAGCUCGCGGCCUAUCAGCUUGUUGGUGGGGUAAUGGCCUACCAAGGCGGCGACGGGUAGCCGGCCUGAGAGGGUGGACGGCCAUAUUGGGACUGAGAUACGGCCCAGACUCCUACGGGAGGCAGAAGUGGGGAAUAUUGCACAAUGGGCGCAAGCCUGAUGCAGCGACGCCGCGUGGGGGAUGACGGCCUUCGGGUUGUAAACUCCUUUCGCUAGGGACGAAGCUUUUUGUGACGGUACCUAGAUAAGAAGCACCGGCUAACUACGUG
rnacentral:rRNA from 1 species